GCCAGCGUGGCUCUGUGGAUAGAGCGUCAGUGCAGACUGAAGGGUCCUGGGUUCGAUUCCCGGUCAGGGCA
rnacentral:tRNA from 1 species